UCAAGCGACCAAGCGCGCAUGGUGGAUGCCUAGGUGGUAAGAGGCGAUGAAGGACGUUGUAGCCUGCGAUAAGCCUCGGGGAGCCGGCAAACAGGCUUUGAUCCGAGGAUUUCCGAAUGGGGAAACCCAGCCCUUCGGGGUUAUCACACACUGAAUACAUAGGUGUGUGAGGCGAACCUGGUGAACUGAAAUAUCUAAGUAACCAGAGGAAAAGAAAUCAACCGAGAUUCCCUGAGUAGCGACGAGCGAACGGGGAACAGCCCUUAAGUCGUGGUGUGGUUAGUGGAACGGUCUGGAAAGUCCGGUCAUAGAGGGUGACAACCCCGUACACGAAAACCUAUCCACGAUGAAAUCGAGUAGGGCGGGACACGUGAAAUCCUGUCUGAACAUGGGGGGACCAUCCUCCAAGGCUAAAUACUCCUUACCGACCGAUAGUGAACCAGUACCGUGAGGGAAAGGCGAAAAGAACCCCUGUUAGGGGAGUGAAAUAGAACCUGAAACCGUGUGCGUACAAGCAGUGGGAGCCUGGCUUCGGCCGGGUGACUGCGUACCUUUUGUAUAAUGGGUCAGCGACUUACAUCUCAGUGGCAAGCUUAACCAUAUAGGGGAGGCGUAGCGAAAGCGAGUCUUAAUAGGGCGUCUUAGUCGCUGGGAGUAGACCCGAAACCGGACGAUCUAGCCAUGGCCAGGUUGAAGGUCGGGUAAUACCGACUGGAGGACCGAACCAACUGACGUUGAAAAGUCAGUGGAUGAGCUGUGGCUAGGAGUGAAAGGCUAAACAAGUCCGGAGAUAGCUGGUUCUCCCCGAAAACUAUUUAGGUAGUGCCUCGUGUCUCACUUCUGGGGGUAGAGCACUGUUAUGGCUAGGGCCACGUCUAGUGGUACCAACCCAUUGCAAACUCCGAAUACCAGAAAGUGCAAUCACGGGAGACAGACGGCGGGAGAUAAGUUUCGUCGUCGAAAGGGAAACAGCCCAGACCGCCAGCUAAGGUCCCCAAAUCACAGCUCAGUGGGAAACGAUGUGGGAAGGCCCAGACAGCCAGGAGGUUGGCUUAGAAGCAGCCACCCUUUAAAGAAAGCGUAAUAGCUCACUGGUCAAGUCGGCCUGCGCGGAAGAUGUACCGGGGCUAAGCUGUGUACCGAAGCUGCGGAUGCAAGCUUGCUUGCAUGGUAGGGGAGCGUUCUGUAAGCCUGUGAAGGUGUGCCGUGAGGCAUGCUGGAGGUAUCAGAAGUGCGAAUGCUGACGUGAGUAACGAUAAAGGGAGUGAAAAACUCCCUCGCCGAAAGUCCAAGGUUUCCUGCGCAAUGUUAAUCAGCGCAGGGUUAGUCGGCCCCUAAGGCGAGGCCGAAAGGCGUAGUCGAUGGGAAACAGGUUAAUAUUCCUGUACCGCAUAUAACUGCGAUGGGGUGACGGAGAAGGUUAGACCAUCCGGGCGUUGGUUGUCCCGGUUUAAGCGUGUAGGGAGUGUUCUUAGGUAAAUCCGGGAGCACAAUUCUGAGACGUGAUGACGAGAUUUCUUUUGAAAUUGAAGUGGUUGAUACCAUGCUUCCAGGAAAAACCUCUAAGCUUCAGGUUAUAUGUGUCCGUACCCUAAACCGACACAGGUGGACAGGGCGAGUAGCCCAAGGCGCUUGAGACAACUCGGGUGAAGGAACUCGGCAAAAUGACACCGUAACUUCGGGAGAAGGUGUGCCCCUGAUACGUGAAGGCCUUGCGGCUGGAGCGGAAAGGGGUUGCAACAAAGAGGUGGCUGCGACUGUUUAUUAAAAACAUAGCACUCUGCAAACUCGUAAGAGGACGUAUAGGGUGUGACGCCUGCCCGGUGCCGGAAGGUUAAUUGAUGGGGUUAGUCUUCGGACGAAGCUCUUGAUCGAAGCCCCGGUGAACGGCGGCCGUAACUAUAACGGUCCUAAGGUAGCGAAAUUCCUUGUCGGGUAAGUUCCG
rnacentral:rRNA from 1 species